GACCACCACAUUGUUAUUGAAAGAAUGUAAAUCCUUGAAUAAUUUUGACUUAUGCUUUCAAAACACGAAAUCUCUUACACUAUUUGCAUGUUUGGGUGGUCUGAAUUGAGUUUUUGAUGAAAGAAUCAUACAUGAUGCAUUAUGGCUCAGAAAUAGGAUGUGCAAGUCUUGGUGUGAGGACACUAACUCAGAUAAUGGCAUGGUAAUUCAGAAUAGAACAGAAUGCAUGUUUGAAAUCAGAUUUUCAGAUUUUAAAACUAAAAUGAUGCAUGUUUCAGAACAAACUAAAAUUGGGCAUAAAGAGAGCUUAGGUGGUUCUCCGAAGAAG
rnacentral:lncRNA from 1 species